rnacentral:misc_RNA from 1 species
AGAGGCUACCGAGGGGAGUUUGCCAGGUUUCAGAUGGUACCAGGGAUUUACGAUCACACAGUGAUCCAAGCCAACCAGUUUAUUCUGUGCAUCAGGAAGAAUGGUCAGACAGUAUAUCAGAAGGUCCUGACGGGUCAGCGGGAGAGCUCCAAGUCCCUGAGAUCCUGGGAGUGGCAGGCCCCUCGGGAGGGGGAUGUCUACCAUGCCCUCUACCCCCGGUCCUGGACAGUCUACCAUCUGGAUGAGUUCAACCUACGUCUGAUCUGUAGACAGGUGUCACCUAUUUUCCCACAUGACUACAAGGACACAAGUUUUCCCAUGGCAACCUUUAUAUGGACAGCUGAAAACAAUGGCACUGAACCUUUAGAUGUCAGUAUCAUGUUUACAUUUAAAAAUGGCCGUGGAGUGAAGGAUGAUGGGAACGGGGGUUGUCAUAACCACGUGUUUGAUGAGAACUCGGAGGGACGGCAAGUGUCAGGCAUCUCAAUCAAUCACAACAUUCAGGACAUGAAGUGUACUUACUGUAUAGGAGGGGUUCACAAGGAUGAUGUUUCUGUGACCUGUAAGGAAUAUUUUGACCCCCGGGGGACGGGACAGGAAGUCUGGGAGGACCUUAAAGAGGAUGGACAGCUGAACACAGAGGGGGAGAAAGGUGAGAAGAGCAGGACUUGUUCUCCCCUCUCACUUCUCCUACAGCUUCUGUUAUCUCUGGCACACCUUGUCCUUAAUUUAUUCACAAUUCCUUCAGGUAAGACGACCUGUACAGGUAAAGGUGAGGAGAGUGCAGCAGCAGUCUGUGUCAAGGCCAAUCUUCCACCAAAACAGUCCAAAGACUUUGAGUUCACCUUGACCUGGGACAUGCCAAUCAUCCACUUCAAGGCCAAAGAAAGAUUCUAUGCAAGGCGAUACUCGCGCUGGUUUGGGUUGGAUGGAGAGGCAGGACCAAGGAUGUCUAGUUAUGCUGCCGCUAAUUACAGCGCAUGGGAACAGAAAAUAGAGGAAUGGCAGAAACCAGUCCUACAGAACAAAAAUCUGCCUGCCUGGUACAAGUCAGCCCUGUUCAAUGAGUUGUAUUACGUCAGUGAUGGGGGCACGGUGUGGAUUGACCCCGUGGAGGGACAAGGAGGGAAACUGGUCCGUGUCACUGACCCUAAGGAUCCUCCAAUCGUCCAGGAGUUCAGCAGAUUCGGAUAUCUGGAAGGCCAUGAGUACAGAAUGUACAAUACCUAUGAUGUUCACCAUUACGCCUCCUUCUCCCUCAUCAUGCUGUGGCCCAAACUACAAAUCUCAUUACAGUAUGACAUUGCAACAGCAGUAGAAUCGGAAGAUUCAACUCGAAUCAAGUUUUUGACCAGUGGAGAAGUAGGAAUUAGAAAGAGAUUACAUGCCGUUCCUCAUGACAUGGGUGAUCCUGAGGACGAGCCAUGGAAUCGUGUCAACUGUUACGUAAUACACCCGACCUGUAACUGGAAGGACCUCAACAUGAAGUUUGUACUGCAGACUUAUAGAGACUACUCCGCCACAAAGGACGACGCCUACCUCCGACACAUGUACCCUGUGGCUAAGUAUGUUAUGGAGACAGCCAAGAAAUGGGAUGUAGACGAUGAUGGAAUCAUUGACAAUGGUGGAUUUGCUGAUCAGACGUUCGAUGCCUGGACAAUGACAGGAGCAAGUGCCUACUGUGGUGGUAUGUGGCUGGCCGCUCUACGUAUGAUGAUAGAGAUGGCCACCAUUCUAAAGAAAGAGGACGAUGUUCUCCAUUAUAAGGAGAUUCUGGACAAAGGCAAAGUCUCUUACCAAAACAAACUCUGGAAUGGUUCCUACUAUAACUAUGACUGUAGUUCAGGCGGUCACCAUGACAGCAUCAUGGCGGAUCAGCUAGCUGGCCACUGGUUCCUGAAGGCAUCGGGGCUGCAGGAUGAUGAUAUAUUUCCUCCGGAUCGUGUGAAAUCCUCGCUAAAAAAGAUCUUCGAGAACAAUGUGAUGAUGUUUGAGGGUGGGAACAUGGGGGCCAUUAAUGGAACACGUCCUGACGGGAGCAAAGACAUCAGCAGCUGCCAGUCCGAGGAAUUCUGGGUAGGGGUCACUUAUGGGUUGGCUGCCAACAUGAUUCAAGAGGGUUUAUUGGAUCAGGCCUUUCAGACUGCCUGGGGGGCCUACCACGUGUGCUGGGAGUGGUACGGGCUAGCCUUCCAGACUCCCGAGGCCUACAUGACGGACAACAUCUACCGCUCACUUGGCUACAUGCGGCCUCUGGCCAUCUGGUCCAUGCAGUGGGCCCUGGAGAAGUUUCACCAAGACUUGAUGUCCAGUUGAUGCCUUGACAUUCUGACACUUUGUGAUACAUAUCUGGAUUUAAAUGCAUCCUUUCACAUUCAUACAUAUUGGGUAACAUUAGAAGAAAAUAAAGAAGGGAAUUUUAUGGUUUUAAGGGGAAAGCCCUGAGAAUUUAAGUUAUGGAAAUCCAGCUCAUUCAAACUCAUUCCAUGUUUAUAGAUCCAAGCAAGCAAACACACGCUUCUCUCACUACAAAGGUCAUGUGAUCUGUUUUUUGUGUUCACUUCUGUGUUAUUUACGUUUAACUAAAGAAUUGCGUUUUCAAUUUUUUGUAUCCUUUAUUAGAAAGAUGUCAUAUUGUGAUAAGAAUUUGUGCUAGAUAUGGUAUCUUAUGUGCAAUAUUAAACAUGUUUAAGUCCC